GCUGUCGUAGCCGAGUGGUUAAGGCGAUGGACUAUAAAUCCAUUGCGGUCUCCCAAAGCAGGUUUGAAUUCUGUCAACUGCG
rnacentral:tRNA from 2 species